ACUUUUAAGGAAGCCUAAAGUGAGCCACCUGGAGAGGCCAGAUGGAGGAAAAUCAAAGUGCUCCAGAUGAUAGCCCCACAUGAGAUCCCCACCUUCCACAAAGGCCCAACUGCCACCAUCUUGGACAUUCCAAGCUAGUUGAACCUCCAGUGAAUGAACCAUCUUGGACAUUCCAAACCAGUUGAACCUCCAGCAAGCCAUCUUGGACAUUCCAAAUCAGCUGAAUGACUGCAGCCACAGUUCAUACCAUUUAGAGAAGAACUACCCAGGAAUAGAAAGUUCCUCACAUGUUCUCAUCAAGACCAGUAAUGCCAAAGCGGUCCAUCUGGUAUGUAAAGCUGCAAGGUGUUAUCUGGAGCCUAAGGCAAUCUGGAAACCUCUAAGCACAUAAUUAAAAGCCACAUUCUGAAAAUGACAGAACACAUGGGAAAAGUCUAUUCUCCAAUAAAUCUUCAGUCCUGGAAACUGAACUCAAAAAGAUUGUGCUCUGUUCCAUCCUCAACUCCAGGCUCAACCAGAAAAAGGGGACAACUAUUUCUGUUUCAGAACAGACACUUAGACCCACUGGUCAUGGGUUUCAAUCUUGUGGGUUUCACUGUGGAGAGUGCUGGUCCAGUCUAGCCAACUCAGAUUUAGGUGGAACUGUGAACAGUAUGCAGUAAUUGAAGUUUUCAUUUUUUGUUUUACCUGUGGACAACUGAGCCAGAGACAUUUAUUGAAGUAUCACUUUUCUCCUACAACCUACAUUGCCACCUUUGUCCUAACUCGAGAAUCUACAGAUGUUCAUCAGAUCAACAAGGUUGCCUGGAGGUUUGUGACAGAGGAAAACCAAAUGGGAAGCCUGUAAAGUAGGAAUUAUGAAUCUUUGUUAUAUCUACAUUACUUCCAUAGCUGUCACUAUAUAGAACUCACUUUUCACUAAAUUUGUGUUCACCAAUAAAAGUAAAAAUUUAAAAAAAAAUUUUUUUUUUGGGGGGGUCCUUCUCAUAAGGAUCAGUUAGGACAUCUUCCAUGACCAAACCUUACAGUAGCUCAACCCAAAAUAUGUACUGCUAGACCUUCUUUCUCAGGUCUGAAUGGUCAAUUAAUAUCUGAUGGUAGUGUUCUCAGUUCACUGUUCAUAAUGAAACCAAAAAUUUGUCCACACAGACUAGAAAUUGGCUACAUUACUGUUAGGCAUGCCCUCUCCUCUGCAGAGGUUCUCACCCUAAAGGUCCCCAUCUUUUCAAAAUAGUUCAGCCAUUCAGGAAGAGAAUCAGGUGGGCAAGAAAUGUGAAGGAUCCAGUGGGAACUACAUGAAGAACUAUGUGAACAUAAAUAUAUGUACAGACACCCUCAUUCUUGCCAAGUAUGCUCUUCUGUAGGCAACUCCAGCAAGGGUCCUCAUCUAAAGCUGUUCAUGGAGGAACAGGCAGAACCACAGGAAAGAGACCAGGAGAUAUUUUAGAGAUAUCAAGUUCUCAAAUCUGUGGCAGGCAUAAUUUCUCAUCCCAAGAGUUUUGCUCUACAAGUGUCAUUUGUUCCCAGGGAAAACAGUUGGGGUUGCACAAUGGAAGUCCUGAAGAGACAUUAGUCAGGGUCUUUACGUGUAAUCACUAUGGUUUAUAUAAAUGUACGUAAAAAAUAAUAAAACCAUAAUGUCACUUUAACACACCAAGAAUCAAGGCCACCAGAGUCAAAGACAGUAAAGAGAACUGUCAUGGGAAUGGGAUAUCAAAAGCAGAGCGUCUGGAAUGCAAAGCAAAUUUAGAUGUAGCUUUUUGCAUAUUAGUCUUAGCAUCCAGUUGGAGGAGGAUAGAGAGGAAAGAUAAAAAGAACGAAUAAUAACUGAAAACAUGCUCUACAUUGUAUUUUUUUAAUGAUAAAAUAUUCAAAUGGAUGAAGUAGGCUUGCUUGAAGUCACACAAUCUGUGAGUAGCUGAGCCAGGAUUAAAACACAAGACCAUCUGCCUCAGUACCAAAGCAUUUCCACAAUACCAAACUCUUAGUGAGGAAGAAUAAACGGGAGACCUGGUCAAGGUGCACCAAUUUAAAGGUCCAGGAUCCUUCCAGAGAGACAGAUCAACUUAAAUGCAAUGUAUAUGCUUGAGAUGGGAAAAUGCAUAAACAUCACCUGUAUUGAAUCUGAUCCACCUAUCUUUCCAUCUUUGUACAAGAAUUUUACAUGUAUCUUUAGGGGUUAUGCUAAGCCCCUUCCUUAUAA